UACGUAGGUGGCAAGCGUUGUCCGGAUUUAUUGGGUUUAAAGGGUGCGUAGGCGGCCUAUUAAGUCAGUGCUGAAAUAUUCCGGCUUAACCGGGAGGGUGGCAUUGAUACUGAUGGGCUAGAGUACAGAUGAGGUAGGCGGAAUUGACGGUGUAGCGGUGAAAUGCUUAGAUAUCGUCAAGAACACCUAUAGCGAAGGCAGCUUACUAGGCUGUAACUGACGCUGAGGCACGAAAGUGUGGGGAUCAAACAGG
rnacentral:rRNA from 1 species